rnacentral:rRNA from 1 species
UUGGAGGCAGCAGUAGGGAAUUGUUCGCAAUGGGCGCAAGCCUGACGACGCAACGCCGCGUGGAGGAUGAAGAUCUUCGGGUCGUAAACUCCUUUCGAUCGGGACGAACGGCCUCCGGGUGAACAAUCCGGGGGAGUGACGGUACCGAGAGAAGAAGCCCCGGCUAAGUCCGUGCCAGCAGCCGCGGUAAUACGGGGGGGGCAAGCGUUGUUCGGAAUUACUGGGCGUAAAGGGCUCGUAGGCGGCCAACUAAGUCGGACGUGAAAUCCCUCGGCUUAACCGGGGAACUGCGUCCGAUACCGGAUGGCUUGAAUUCGGGAGAGGGAUGCGGAAUUCCAGGUGUAGCGGUGAAAUGCGUAGAUAUCUGGAGGAACACCGGUGGCGAAGGCGGCAUCCUGGACCGACAUUGACGCUGAGGAGCGAAAGCCAGGGGAGCAAACGGGAUUAGAUACCCGUGUAC